AACAUGGUGAACUCUCCAAGGUACCAUCUCCCUUCUGACUUCCCAAAGCACUGGGAAACUUGGAGCCAGGGGCUAAGCUGGGGAAUAGGAGCCCCUUCGCUCUGCCCACAGAUUGGACACACCUGAGGACAGCUGGGGAAUGGAAUAGUUUACUAGAUUUGGAAUUAGAGGACAAGAGUCAAAUCUCACCUUUACUAUGUAUUGCCUAUGUGAUCUUGGUGGAGGUCCUUUAGUUCUCUGGGUUUGGGGGGCGAAGGGUGGAUUCAAUGAUCUCUAAGCCCCUCUCUAGUACUGAAUCUAGGAUCUUUCACUCAGAGGCAAGAUGUUGGGGAAGCUGAUGCCUAGUGAGGAGAAUGAAGAAAAUAUCUAAUUCCUGUGAGGAGUUGCCUGUCUCAUGCAGAGCAGGAUAAAUUGCACAAAGGAUGGUUCAUUUAUGUACUAUUAGGGAUGACAUGUUAAUAUCAAAGCGUUAAAAUAUGUAAAUAGCAUAAGCAUGCGCCCCAUCCUAAUUACUGUUUUACAUUAUCAAGUCAUUUACUCUUUAUGACAUUUUAUGACCGUUCAGCUGUGUCAGCAAACAAUUAGCUGAGCCUCCUACCAUGGAGGAAGAAAAAAAGAUUUUCCAGUUUCUUCCGCCCAGAAAAUUUCACACAAAUCCUUCCCAGUUCCAAGAUCAAGAAAGUCAGAACCCCAGAGGAAGAUGCCCAUUGUGGAAGAGGCUCUUUGUAUGAACUGCAAAAACCCAAGCAAGCUCUCUGCCAUUUUCCUUAUUGGUCUCCUACCCACUUACUGUGCAGGCAGAUAUAUAUGCCGCCUAAUGAGAACUGACAUUUCUUAUGCUGCAUCUUACAGCUUCUGCCCCAACUUAAUACUUUGCAGGUGUUACCUUAUUACAAAGUAAGCUUUGAGGCAAUAAGCUUUGAGAAAACUUAGUGGUUAUUAUGAAAGGAAAAGAUGAUUUGCGUUGUAAAGCAGUGUACCUUUACAGUCAUCAAGUCUUUAUCACAGGACCGACAUUUGGAAAAUACUGGUGCUGCCAACUGCAGGCAAAGUCCUUCCCCAGAGCUCCAGAUGAAGCUCAUUGUCAUUGUGGAACAGAGGCUGGAAAUGGAUUCAAGACAUCUGCUCAUGAUGACCUUGUUGGCUACAUUCCCUGAGGCCCCAGAUAGUGAAAUGAGUGCCAAAGAACUCUGA
rnacentral:lncRNA from 1 species